UGAUCUGACUGAUAGGAUGUGCGGUCCGUCGCCGCCCUGCGCCGGUGAUUGUCCUCUAUAGGCUCCAGGACUGCAAUAUAGUUCACGGAGAUCUACCGGAGGCGCAUCCAUCUAUGGCGUUGACUGCGACAGAUCUGAAGGUACCGGUGGGUGACUCAGAUCUGUAAGGAGAGACGUGCCGGUCUCCACUGCUGGAGCCUUGGCAAGUGGCUGGUACAUGCUACCGGCGAUGUGAUUAAACCAGAGGUAAUUUUGCGAUAAACCGGUAUCUGGUGGCACUGUGGGUCGAUCGAGUUCUCCCACUGAGAAAUUUGGAUCUAGCUUUCUCGUCUACCUACCCCUGGCGAGCUCACUAGCCUUAUGAUCCGUCUACUGUUUGAUGUCUGUGGUAGAAGCCUAGAUCUGUUCGAUCUGCUAUGGUCUACGGUAGCCUUGGCUGAAGAUAAGCCAUAAUCAGCUUCAGAUCCGUGAUACAGGAUGAUGACAUCAGCAUGCGAGAUAUUGGUUAGGAGCAGGCCAGUGAGGUGCAAUGGUUGCCUGAGGUGAUCGAUAUUUUGCUCGGAGGCUAGCCAUGAUAAUUGAUAAAAUACCACAAGGAACACACUUAUUGGUUUUUGGAUAGUUUGAUAAAGUUAUAUGGCUUUAAUGUUGUUAGUGGUAUCGAGGUAAUUAAAUUUGGCCAUGUUAUUUUGCGGCCCUUCUAUAGUUAAUAAUAAUUAUUCAUUUCUUAUCGAUUUUAUUUUUUAGUGCAAACUAAGCCUUACAGAUGAUGAUAUGUGAUUCCAUGUUUAUGACUCAAAAUUUUACCCACUCUAUUCUUUUUUAAAAGGUGUAUUUGAUUUAUAGAAAUAUGUUUUUUCUAGUUUUUACUUUUUACCAAGUUCAUAUAAAAAUGAAUAUCAAUUUCGAUAGUACUAAUAAAUAAAUAAACAUGAAAACAUAUUGAUGCGAAGGACAUGCCCCAACUUGUGCCAAGAGGUACUGGGUUUGACGCAGCCUCUAGCACGCGUGGGGCCUUGUAGCACGUCAGUCGAUUAUACAUAUGGUAUUUUGGUUGUUAAUAUUUUAUCAUUAUUUUCUACAAACGGAACUUGGAAGAGUUGACUUAUGAAAAAGAUUAGUACACACUAAAAAGGAACAGAGGGAGUAUCAUAUAUAUAGGCUGUGUUUGGACAUCACAAGAUAAACGGAUUGAACAUCUUGUUUUUUUAUUAUUGUAAAUUUAGUCUGUGUUUGGCAUUGCAGUGGAUUAUUACAAUCCAGCUUUUGCCUAUUUUAUCGUUUGUGUACUUUUUUCCUACUUCGCUGAUUAUUACAGGGUAGUUUCCACUAAUCAUAGUUCAGCAAUCCACAAACUAAGCCUCGGUAUACAUUUUUAAACAAGCAAUAGCUUACACAUGUUAUGUCUUGAUAAGUAACUAGCCAUAUAACUAUUAUUUUCCUACUUCGGUGCAUUGUACGAUUAUUAUUAUUAUUAUUAUAAAAAGUAUAAGGUCUAUUAAAAUUGAAGUAUGUGUCGUGCAUGUUUUAUUACUCUACAUCAAUGAAAAACUACACAUCGUUGAACAAGAUGAUCUUGUACAUGUAUGUUAUCAUGGCGACUAGUAUAGUAUACUACCUCCGUUGACAAAUAUAAGAUGUUCUAACUUUUUUGUAAAUAGGAUGGAUAUAGACACAUUUUAGCGUGUUUCUUCAUUCAUUUCUGUCUGUAUGUAGUCUAUAUAUUGGAAUAUCCAAAACAUCUUAUAUUUAUGGACGGAGGGAGUACAUAAUUACGUUUCUGUUGUACAAUUGAAACUUGACUAUAUGCUGUAGAUGUCUUAUGAUUUUACAUUGUGACAAAAUAAUAAGUUCGUUAAGACAUAUUUCUACAUGCUUUAUACUCCAUCCGUCCGAAAAUACUUGUCCUAGAAAUAAAUAAAAUGGGUGUAUCUAUAACUAAAAUAACUCUACAUACAUCUAUUUUUAAGACAAGUAUUUCCGGACGGAGGGAGUAUAUAUUAUGAUAUGAUUCUACAUUGUGGGAAAAUGAGUUUUGAAUAUCAUACUUCUAAUGUUCCUCAUUGAAAAUUUAUUUAUUGUAGUGUUAAUUUUUAAAAUCUAAGGGUAUCUUAUGUUCUGAUGAUAUGUAAGAAUAGACACAGGAAUAAGGUAGAAAUGCAUGUGAUAAGAAAACAUAGGAAUUUUGUCAACUGCAUUUGGUUCACAAAACUCAGGAUUAUUAGUACAAACGUGGUCAAAUCUAGGAUGCUAUUAUGCAAUUAAAGACCUCGAUAGUAGGAGUUUGAAAAAUGAGGUCCAGAUGGUUUUUACGCGGAUGUUUUACAUUGCAGAGUAAGCGUGGCAGAUCAUGUAGGAACUUGGUCUUUUAAGUUCUGGAUGCCUAUUAUUUCCCAUUAUUGCAAAAUAAACUACUCAUAUUUUUUAUCUCUUGAUUUGUGAACUGGUUUGGGAGCGAUGCAUAUUCUUACCAAUCAAGUAUUUAUGGCUUCCGUGUUAAUGAAAUAUGCAGUUCUGUGUAAGUAUUUUAUUUUGUGUUUCUUUUACCCUAAAAGUGUCAGAAGGGCCGUUUCUUAAUUUCUUUUGUUUAAAUAGAUGUAGCUGUACCGCUUGGUAGAUAAAAAAGUUAGGAGCUAUAGGCUGUAGGUCUUAGCAUAGCAGAUGUAUGUUUCCAUCGUUUCAUGAGUUGACAGUCACCAUUGUUGCUUUUUAUUACAUAUUGUGUAUACUUGUAUCUGUUAUACAACUACCACGUUCAUCAUUGGAAAUAUAGUUGAGUGUUAAACAUCUCUUUUGCCCUUUUGUAUAACCUGACCUUAUAUAAACAGGUGGUCUAGCUGUGAAUAUUUGCUUCUCUCUCUGUCAAAACAUGUUUGAAAUUUUCCAGUUUCUGUGACAUUAUUUUGCCUCAAAUGCAAAUGAGGUGCAUUGAAUCUGACUAGCACUUUGAACUUGAAGUCCAUACUAACAAUACUGAAGUAUUGGAGGGCAGCUUAAUUAUUUUAUUUUAUCAUGUUGUAUUGAAAUCUUUAUUUAUGCGAUCAGCCUCACAGAAUGUUAUUAUAUGCAAGCCAGCAUGAGGCGUGAUGGCGUUUCGUCCUUCACCUCAAAUACGUGCAACUAGAUGAGGAAAAUAGGAAACAUGGCACAGACGGGCCAAUAUUCUGCUUUGAUUCCCAGCCUGAAUACCACGACCUGCCAAACAAGGACAUUUGGGUAUGCCAAUGCCAAUAUCUGAGCCAAACAAGGACAUUUGGGUAUGCCAAUGCCAAUAUCUGAGCCAAACAAGGACAUUUGGGUAUGCCAAUGCCAAUAUCUGAGCAACUCCAACUGGGUGAGCCAGCAACUCCCGUGCCGCUCCUUGCAGCGGCCCGGGAGAACCCUAAAUCUCAGCCUCCCACCUCGCCGUCGUUGGAGGGCGUCGCCGGCGACGGGCCAUCUCCAUCUCGCAAGGAUCUCGAGCGGCGCGGGGGCGACUCAACUUCGAAGAUGCGGGGCGUGGUGGGGCUCUUGGCGGGACGCUGCCGGUGUGCACGGAGGAGGAGGACGCGAGCCGUCUGCGCGAGCGGCGGCGGUGCUAGGCGGUUGUUGGUGUGCGCGACGCGAGGUGGAGCUUGUGCGGGCGUGGCCUGGCGCGUUGCAGGGGUGGCUGGCUCGCAAGGUGCAGCAGGAAGCGGGGCGCGGGCGACGAGCCGCGGCCAUCCAUGGCCGGUCGCGGCGUGAUGCACAGGAGGCGUCACAGCGCAGUUCUGCUGCUGCGCGCAGGGCAGGGGCGGUUGCCAGAUUCAGCCGCAGGUGCAUGGUGCAUGGUGCAUGAUCAAACGAAUUUGGUAGACCAACUACAAACAUUCGAAAAAAAAUCUGGGCCUCAAUAUCAACCUCCAAACUGGUGUCUUAUCAAAAGACACUUGUAUUAGUUAGACAAGGAUUGUGAGCUUGUAAUUAGCUUCACAAGAAGCACCUUCAUGAUUUUUUUGCUAAUCAGAUUUGACAAAAAUUCAAGGGAUUGAGAGAAGUUGACCAUCACACAAUAUGAAGACAUAAUAGGGGCAUGCACAUAGCAUGGCAAGUAAUAUGUGAAGUAAUAUGUUCACGGGUGGUCAAAAUAGGCAGAUAACAUGUUCACAGGAUUGCAUUUUAUCAGUAGAACAGAUGAAUCGCUGACAUUGUGCUUUAUUUUGCCAUGAUUGACUUUGCACCUGCUGUUUCUUUCUUCUCCCCUGCCGUUGCCUGCCACCUACGCUGCAAAGCACAGCAAUUAGUUAGUAUAUGAUCAAAUUAUCUCGUAGAAAAAAAAUACAGUAUGCAAUGGUUAAGGUGCAUUCUGACCAGCUGUUUUUUUUUUGCUUGGCAGGUUUUUUCUUCUUCUGUGAUAUAAGAAGACUGUAUAUGCUUGCACUUUCAUGAGUUAUAAGAUACUAAAUUGCCUGUUUUCCAUACUUUAAUCCCCACCCUAUUUGCAGUUACCAAAAUACAGUACUAAAUCCGAAUUUGCAGUUACCAAAUACAGUACUAAAUUCAUACUUCAAUCCAAUUUGCAGUUAUCAACUGCAGUACUAAAUUCGUAGUAAAAGCCCUCUGAAUUCUGAAUUCAGUACCACCACCCACAGAUCCCUACUAACUCGGUCCCAGUGAGCACUCCCGACCAAAUCUGCCUUGGAUUAUGCGGAUCCCGCAUCGUCCAAAUCUGCGCUAAUUUAGGUAGGGUGAAGGAAACGGAUGAUGUACCUGUCGGUUGCCUAAUUGCGGCCCCUACGCGCGGCCGCCAGUUCCGCUUCCCGUCUGCGCUGGGCCUCGGCCGCCCGAUCCUUGGCCGCCCGGGCCGCCUUUUGCUCCGCGUCGCAUUUGCUUGUGUGGUCCAGGCCUUCGGCUAGCCCCUUGAUCUUUUUGCCGCAAUGGCACAUCCAGAGCACCUUCUCUGCCUUACCAGCCCUCCCGGACUUGGCCUGCUUGCCUGCCAUCCCGCUUGCGCUUGCUGAUGGCGGCGGAUGGGAUGGGAUGGGAUGGGAUGGGAAGGGAAGGGCUGGGUUUUGGUAAUAGGGUUUGGUGUACGGUGUAAUUUUGAAGUGUGUCCGUCUAUUUUCUUGAAAA